GCGGCGCGCUUAACACAUGCAAGUCGAGCGAGAAGGGAGCAAUCCCAGUAAAGCGGCGCACGGGUGAGUAACACGUAGGUAAUCUACCUCGAGGUGGUGGAUAACCUUCCGAAAGGAGGGCUAAUACAGCAUGAGACCACGUCUUCGAAAGAGGAUGAGGUCAAAGCGGGCCUCUAUACAUAAGCUCGCGCCACGAGAUGAGCCUGCGGCCCAUCAUGGUAGUUGGUAGGGUAACGGCCUACCAAGCCGAAGACGGGUAGCUGGUCUGAGAGGAUGAUCAGCCACACUGGAACUGAGACACGGUCCAGACUCCUACGGGAGGCAGCAGUGGGGAAUCUUGCGCAAUGGGCGAAAGCCUGACGCAGCGACGCCGCGUGAGUGAUGAAGGCCUUCGGGUUGUAAAGCUCUGUGGAGGGGGACGAAUAAGGGUUGGCUAACAUCCAGCUCGAUGACGGUACCCCUUUAGCAAGCACCGGCUAACUCUGUGCCAGCAGCCGCGGUAA
rnacentral:rRNA from 1 species